AGUUGACUUGGCAGUUGCGUGCUGAAUAAUCAGUAUGAGGAAAGUCCGAGCAGCGCAGAGCAGAAUAACGGCUAACGGCCGCCGAGGGUGACCUUAGGGAAAGUGCAACAGAGAUAUACCGCCAAUUUUUUGGUAAGGGUGGAAAGGCGAGGUAAGAGCUCACCGAGGGAGUGGAGACAUUCCCUGCCAUGUAAACCCUAUUCGCUGCAACAUCGAACGAAGGGUUGUUUGCUCGACACAUAACUUCAAAGGAUGGCUCGAUUGCAAGAGCAAUUUUGCAACUAGAUAGAUAACUGCCCACGACAGAACUCGGCUUACUGUC
rnacentral:RNase_P_RNA from 1 species